rnacentral:lncRNA from 10 species
AUCCUACUCUUAGGUCUGCUAUUAGUUUUUUUGCCUUGGACGAGUCACUUUUCUAAGUUUUCUGUUUUAUAAAAUAAAGAAAUUGGACGAGAUGGUUCAGCAUAUCCUAGAUAUAACGUUUCUUGCUCGUAAAGGGAACUAGUAGGGACUGUUGGGGAGUUUGUAGGAGAAAAAUUCAGAGUAAUAAGAGUUCAAGCAAUUCAGUUACGGUUUUAGAGUUUAAACACCUAGUUUUUGAUUUUUAAUAAUUUCUUGAUUUGUAAGUAUUUUAAGUUCAGGAGGGGUUUUCAUUGGCUGGCAUGCUAAAAGGGAAAGGAAUUUUAAACAUUUUAUUUUAAAGAAUGUGUUAUUUGAAUUUCAGUUUUGAAACAAAGUUAUGUCAGAUAUUUUCAGACCUCAAUGCCACCUAUCGUACAAUUCAAGGCCAUUUACAAUCUGAAAACUUUAAGCAACGGGUAAUGACUUGCUUCAGAGCAUGGGAAGAUUGGGCAAUUUAUCCAGAACCAUUUUUGAUCAAACUACAAAAUAUUUUCUUAGGAC